rnacentral:rRNA from 1 species
UACGGAGGGUGCGAGCGUUGUCCGGAAUCACUGGGCGUAAAGGCGCGUAGGCGGCCUGAUAAGUAGGGGGUGAAAUCCUGCGGCUUAACCGCAGGGCUGCCUUCUAAACUGUCAGGCUUGAGCACAGUAGAGGCAGGUGGAAUUCCCGGUGUAGCGGUGGAAUGCGUAGAGAUCGGGAAGAACAUCAGUGGCGAAGGCGGCCUGCUGGGCUGUUGCUGACGCUGAGGCGCGACAGCGUGGGGAGCAAACAGG